rnacentral:rRNA from 1 species
GAAGAAGUCGGCUGGAAAGCCGCACCAUAGCGGGUGAUAGUCCCGUAUUCGAAACCGAAAAGGACGCAGACGGUACCUGAGUACCGCGGGGCACGUGAAACCCCGUGGGAAUCCGGGAGGACCAUCUUCCAAGGCUAAGUACGACCCAGCGACCGAUAGUGUACCAGUACCGUGAGGGAAAGGUGAAAAGAACCCCUGUGAGGGGAGUGAAAGAGAAUCUGAAACCUGUUGCUUACAAGCUGUGGGAGCCAUAUAACGAUGGUGACCACGUGCCUUUUGCAUAAUGAGUCAGCGAGUUAAUCUGUUGUGCGAGGUUAAGCGGAAGCGGAGCCGUAGCGAAAGCGAGUCUGAUAAGGGCGACGAGUACAACGGAUUAGACCCGAAACCGGGUGAUCUAUCCAUGAGCAGGUUGAAGCAAGGGUAAAGCCUUGUGGAGGACCGAACCAGUAUCGGCUGAAAACGAUUUGGAUGACUUGUGGAUAGGGGUGAAAGGUCAAUCAAACCCGGUGAUAGCUGGUUCUCCCCGAAAUAUAUUGAGGUAUAGCCUCGGGGAUUGUCUGUCGGAGGUAAAGCACUGACAAGGCUAGGGGUCCUACCAGAUUACCAAACCUUAUCAAACUCUGAAUGCCGACAAGAUGUACCCCGGGAGUCAGACGGCGGGUGCUAAGGUCCGUCGUCGAAAGGGUAAGAGCCCAGACCGACAGCUAAGGCCUCCAAAUCCAUACUCAGUGGUGAAGGUGGUGGAGUUGUUCAGACAGCCAGGACGUUGGCUUAGAAGCAGCCAUCGUUUAAAGAAAGCGUAAUAGCUCACUGGUCUAAUGACUCUGCGCCGAAAAUGUAACGGGGCUAAGUAUGGUGCCGAAGCUUCGGAUUCGCCUUUUGGCGUCUGGUAGGGGAGCGUUCUCUAUGGGCAGAAGUUGUGUUGUAAAGCAUGGUGGACUGUAGAGAAGUGAUUAUGCUGACAUGAGUAACGAUAAAACAGGUGAAAAACCUGUUCGCCGAAAACCCAAGGUUUCCCGGGUAAAGUUAAUCUUCCCGGGGUUAGUCGGUCCCUAAGGCGAGGGCGAAAGCCGUAGCUGAUGGAAAACGGGUCAAUAUUCCCGUACUCAAAACAGUGUGCGAUGGAGGGACGCAGAAAGAUAGGCGGGCCAACUGUUGGAUGUUGGUGCAAGCUGGUAGGAAUACCCCAUAGGCAAAUCCGUGGGGCGUAUCCGAGAAGCGAGUCCGUGGCCGCAAGGCCUGAAGCCGUUGAGUCUCCGCUGCCUAGAAAAGCUCCUAAGUUUAGCUGUUUUGACCCGUACCGCAAACCAACUCAGGUGGGUGAGGAGAAUAAUCCUGAGGCGCUCGAGAGAACUCUGGCCAAGGAACUCGGCAAAAUAACCCCGUAACUUCGGAAGAAGGGGUGCUCUGUUAGCGUGCGAGGUUUAACAUUUCAAGCGCGAGAGAGCCGCAGUGAAUUGGUGGUGGCGACUGUUUACUAAAAACAUAGGUCUGUGCGAAGUCGCAAGACGACGUAUACGGACUGACGCCUGCCCGGUGCCGGAAGGUUAAGAGGAGAGGUCAGCGCAAGCGAAGCAUUGAAUCGAAGCCCCGGUAAACGGCGGCCGUAACUAUAACGGUCCUAAGGUAGCGAAAUUCCUUGUCGGGUAAGUUCCGACCUGCACGAAUGGCGUAACGAUCUCCACACUGUCUCGGCCAGAGACUCGGUGAAAUUGAAGUCGCGGUGAAAAUGCCGUGUACCCGCAGAAAGACGGGAAGACCCUGUGCACCUUUACUAUAGCUUGACAUUGGAUUUUGGCCCUACAUGUGUAGGAUAGGUGGGAGGCUGUG